UAACAGGUGUGUAACAGGUGUGUAAGUGAGUGUGUAACAGGUGUGUAACAGGUGUGUGUCUCUGGCUCAGUUUAUCGAGCCGUGUCGCUCAGACAGGUGGAGCAUUAGAGACCUGAGGCUGUUCCUGACUCACUACACCAGCACAGCACAGAGACUGCACUGCUUCAGGUAUUUGGGAAUUUGGGAAAGGUACAUGGGAGUCAUUAAGAGCUGCAUCCUGAAAAUGUACCAUGAUUAGGGCACAUCACCCUCUUCCUUCAUCCCUCUCUUCCUCCAUCCCUCUCGUCCUUCAUCCCUCUAUUCCUCCAUCUUUCCAUUAUCAGCCUCUGGAGACUCUUCUGUCCUUCUAGAUCCAUGUAUUUAACUACCUCAGCCUUUCCUCAUUCUCUCUCCAUUUGUCUCUGUCCAUCUCCUCCUUGUGUGUGUGUGUGUGUGGCCUCAGAAGGUAGCAGUAUUGGGGUGCAGGGUUGUCUGGAGGGGGAGGGGCAGAGCUGAGGUUUUUAUUGCCCUGUAAAACUCCUGGGUGUGACAGCUGUGACCCCCCCCCCCCCCACACCCAAAUGGCCAUGGAAACUUUCCAGUAAAUUUCACCAAAAAAUAAACAUUCAGUAUGUGUA